AAAGGCCCUUCGGGGUACUCGAGCGGCGAACGGGUGAGUAACACGUGAGCAAUCUGCCCCUAGCAUCGGGAUAGCUCCGGGAAACCGGAAUUAAUACCGAAUACGACUACGGCUGACAUCAGCCGUGGUGGAAAGCUUUUGCGGAUAGGGAUGAGCUCGCGGCCUAUCAGCUUGUUGGUGGGGUAAUGGCCUACCAAGGCGACGACGGGUAGCCGGCCUGAGAGGGCGACCGGCCACACUGGGACUGAGACACGGCCCAGACUCCUACGGGAGGCAGCAGUGGGGAAUCUUGCGCAAUGGGCGAAAGCCUGACGCAGCGACGCCGCGUGCGGGAUGAAGGCCUUCGGG
rnacentral:rRNA from 1 species